rnacentral:rRNA from 1 species
GGCUUAACACAUGCAAGUCGAGGGGCAGCAUCAUCAAAGCUUGCCUUGAUGGAUGGCGACCGGCGCACGGGUGAGUAACACGUAUCCAACCUGCCGACAACACUGGGAUAGCCUUUCGAAAGAAAGAUUAAUACCGGAUGGUAUAGUUUUCCCGCAUGGGAUAAUUAUUAAAGAAUUUCGGUUGUCGAUGGGGAUGCGUUCCAUUAGGCAGUUGGCGGGGUAACGGCCCACCAAACCAACGAUGGAUAGGGGUUCUGAGAGGAAGGUCCCCCACAUUGGAACUGAGACACGGUCCAAACUCCUACGGGAGGCAGCAGUGAGGAAUAUUGGUCAAUGGACGAGAGUCUGAACCAGCCAAGUAGCGUGAAGGAUGACUGCCCUAUGGGUUGUAAACUUCUUUUAUACGGGAAUAAAGUGGGCCACGUGUGGCUUUUUGUAUGUACCGUAUGAAUAAGGAUCGGCUAACUCCGUGCCAGCAGCCGCGGUAAUACGGAGGAUCCGAGCGUUAUCCGGAUUUAUUGGGUUUAAAGGGAGCGUAGGCGGGUUGUUAAGUCAGUUGUGAAAGUUUGCGGCUCAACCGUAAAAUUGCAGUUGAUACUGGCGACCUUGAGUGCAACAGAGGUAGGCGGAAUUCGUGGUGUAGCGGUGAAAUGCUUAGAUAUCACGAAGAACUCCGAUUGCGAAGGCAGCUUACUGGAUUGUAACUGACGCUGAUGCUCGAAAGUGUGGGUAUCAAACAGGAUUAGAUACCCUGGUAGUCCACACAGUAAACGAUGAAUACUCGCUGUUGGCGAUAUACAGUCAGCGGCCAAGCGAAAGCAUUAAGUAUUCCACCUGGGGAGUACGCCGGCAACGGUGAAACUCAAAGGAAUUGACGGGGGCCCGCACAAGCGGAGGAACAUGUGGUUUAAUUCGAUGAUACGCGAGGAACCUUACCCGGGCUUAAAUUGCAACUGACUGAACCGGAAACGGUUCUUUCUUCGGACAGUUGUGAAGGUGCUGCAUGGUUGUCGUCAGCUCGUGCCGUGAGGUGUCGGCUUAAGUGCCAUAACGAGCGCAACCCUUACGGGUAGUUACCAUCAGGUUAUGCUGGGGACUCUACCCGGACUGCCGUCGUAAGAUGUGAGGAAGGUGGGGAUGACGUCAAAUCAGCACGGCCCUUACGUCCGGGGCUACACACGUGUUACAAUGGGGGGUACAGAAGGCAGCUACACGGCGACGUGGUGCUAAUCCCGAAAGCCUCUCUCAGUUCGGAUUGGAGUCUGCAACCCGACUCCAUGAAGCUGGAUUCGCUAGUAAUCGCGCAUCAGCCACGGCGCGGUGAAUACGUUCCCGGGCCUUGUACACACCGCCCGUCAAGCCAUGAAAGCCGGGGGUACCUGAAGUACGUAACCGCGAGGAGCGUCCUAGGGUAAAACUGGUGACUGGGGCUAAG